UCUUGGUGCUUCUGUAUGCUGAUGGAGAGAACAGACCAGAGUCACAGGAUGGGAGAUACUCUGGAAGAGCUGAAUUCUUCACUGAAGAAAUUCCCAAAGGAAACUUCUCAAUGAAAAUGAGGAAAGUCAAGACUGAAGACAAAGGAGAGUUCAGGUGUGAAGUCCACUCAGAUACUGAUUCUGCCAAUACAACUGCUAGGAUAGCAGCACUGGGUUAUUCAUCCCUGCAUUGGCUGAUUCUGGGGCUUUGCAUCGCUGUCACACCUGUAGUCCUACUUACUGGUACUUUAUCUGUCAGGCAUUUAAUAAGGGAAGAUACAAGCAAACAGGCUCUGUUGAGUCACUGGUCACAUGUCACAGUUCCACCAAUCAUGGUUUCCGCAGCAUUCAUCCUGUGGGGUGUAAC